rnacentral:rRNA from 1 species
AUGGACAAACACUAUAGUUUCUCAGGCAGCGUGUUGCAUCCACGGCUUUCUGCUGGUCUUUAUUUUUCAAGAGAAGAGAAAGUUGUUGAUCCUUUUCUUUUCCAAAUUUAUUCUUUAAUAAUCAGAUGGGUAUGCUACAAACAUCUUCCAGCUACGUUUAGAAAACCAACCCCCACUCAUGUAAAAAUGUGCUUGUACUAUGCAGAAAGAAAGAAAAAUAAUCUUGUACUGCUGUUAUUUUGUUUAUUGCUCGUUUAUUUACCGUUGUUAAUGGAGUACUUGUUGAGUACUAACAUGGGAGUAUGCUGCAAUGAUAGAGCAUCCAACUGUUUUGACUACCAUGAUUUUUUUUGUAGCUAA